rnacentral:rRNA from 1 species
UACGAAGGGGGCUAGCGUUGUUCGGAAUCACUGGGCGUAAAGCGCACGUAGGCGGCCUCUUAAGUCGGUGGUGAAAUCCUGGAGCUCAACUCCAGAACUGCCUUCGAUACUGGGAGUCUUGAGUCCGGGAGAGGUGAGUGGAACUGCGAGUGUAGAGGUGAAAUUCGUAGAUAUUCGCAAGAACACCAGUGGCGAAGGCGGCUCACUGGCCCGGUACUGACGCUGAGGUGCGAAAGCGUGGGGAGCAAACAGG